UUUCACUCUCUCUAUAUCUAUGCAAAUACCUCUUCAUUAGACCACCAUAAUCAUCAAACCCUAAAGUUCCAAAGCCCAAAGCGUGGUCGCCGUUCACCAUUUUCCGGCACUUCUCCGGCACUUCUUCAAGGACAGUUGCUAGCCUUCCCCAAAUCCCCAAAUUCAAAAAUCAGAUUUGUGCUCGAAUCAGAGAAGUCCAAAAUCACUAUAGCCUGUGGAAGAAGAAGCGUAUGAGGAAGCUGAAGAGAAAGCUCAGAAAGAUGAGAUAGAGAUCUAAGUAAAGCAGGGUGCCUAUGAUGCUUUCUUGGGAUCUAGAAGAUUUCUAUUUCGUCUAACACUGGGCCGUCUCCAGACUGAAGAGGCUAAGUUUAGUAAAGCUGAGAAGAAUGUGAAAGAGUUGAGCAGUUGGAAGAGUGGAUCUCACUGAAAACGAUAUGAAACGUGGCAUGUCCGAGCUUCAACGCUUAUUUUCUUCAUUCAUAUACUCA